rnacentral:rRNA from 1 species
AAGUCCUACAUGNNCAGUCGAAACGGAGCGCCUUUGGAAGGAGACUCCGGUCAACGGAAGAAGGAGGCUUAAUUGGCGGACGGGUGAGUAACGCGUGAGGAACCUGCCUCAGAGAGGGGGAUAACACACCGAAAGGUGUGCUAAUACCGCAUAACAUAUGAGAGGGGCAUCCCUUUUAUAUCAAAGAUUUAUUGCUCUGAGAUGGCCUCGCGUCCAAUUAGCUAGUUGGUGAGGUAACGGCCCACCAAGGCGACGAUUGGUAGCCGGACUGAGAGGUUGAACGGCCACAUUGGGACUGAGACACGGCCCAGACUCCUACGGGAGGCAGCAGUGGGGAAUAUUGCACAAUGGGGGGAACCCUGAUGCAGCAAUGCCGCGUGAAGGAUGAAGGUUUUCGGAUUGUAAACUUCUUUUGUACGGGACGAAGAAAGUGACGGUACCGUAAGAAUAAGCCACGGCUAACUACGUGCCAGCAGCCGCGGUAAUACGUAGGUGGCAAGCGUCAUCCGGAUUUACUGGGUGUAAAGGGCGAGUAGGCGGGAUUGCAAGUCAGAUGUGAAAACUAUGGGCUCAACCGAUAGAGUGCAUUUGAAACUGCAGUUCUUGAGUGAUGGAGAGGCAGGCGGAAUUCCCGGUGUAGCGGUGGAAUGCGUAGAUAUCGGGAGGAACACCAGUGGCGAAGGCGGCCUGCUGGACAUUAACUGACGCUGAGGCGCGAAAGCGUGGGGAGCAAACAGGAUUAGAUACCCU